rnacentral:lncRNA from 1 species
UCCAGCCCACCUUUUAGCAAGUUUUAGCAACCAAAAACUUGCUAAAGUGCUAAACUUUAGCAACUCAACUUUAGCAAGUUUUAGCAAGAGUGUUUUGCAGUUUAGCAGCUCAAAGUUGCUAAACUUUAGCAUCUAAAGUUUAGCAAGGUGGAAGAAAAUAGACCCUUAACGAGCUAGAAGUCCUGCUCGGAUCGGCUCGUUUGCCAGCUCGAGCUGGCUCGUUUAGCUCGUGAGCUAGCUCGUUAACGCUGUGUCCAGGGUCGCGAUGGCCGUCGCUGCCGGCGCCAUGUAGCCCCGGAGCCCUGCCCGCAUAGACGCAAAAGCUUGCUCAGCACAAGAUUUGGUCGCUGACUUGCUACAGAUGAGAAGAAUCAACUCAAAUUGCUAGCAAGUUCCCGCUGACUGAUUGGUUACCUUGUAGUGGCUGAAAUCGAACUAGAGCUGUUCUUUCAAAAAAAAAAGAACUAGAGCUGCGGUAUGCUUGGCCUCCGGGAGCAGCGUGCUCCCUUGCCACCUCCUACUCUGCAGGUCCGCACUUGAAGGCGGAGCAGAUGGCCACGAUGGCUUCCGCCGCCAGCAGGAAUCAGAAGCAGCAGCAGCGCCGCACCCACCUGCCUCUCCGGCUUUUGCCGCCCGACCCGUCGUUCCUGCAGGCUGUAGUGGUCGUCCCCAGCAAGCGCAUGGCAGAUUGCAGCAAUGCCUGCUUGUUCGAAGCUGCAGUGGCGUCGGGCGGCGGUGUCGAGCGGCAGGUUGGCGACGCGUGUGGACGCGACGGCGGACCGGCAGGUCCGCAGGUGAGCGAGACACGAGAGGCAAGUGCUAGCGGCUGGGCAUGCACGAGAGUGGAUAAGGUUGAUUGGAGCUUUGGAGGAGCGCUGGAGUCUUGAGGGUGUUUAGUUUGUUACUUGGGCUGUUGCUGGGCUUAUAACUUUCGCGGGCUGCUUAGCAAUUAGCACUGGCCUGCUUCCUCGAAUGCUUCUGGCCUGCCACUGAACGGCUCGUUUGGCUCGUGAGCCAACUCGAGCUGGCUCGUUGUCGUAACGAGCUGAAAUGCUAGCUUGGCUCGUUGAGAGAAAUUUU